GAGACCGCGGCGCCGCCAGCCCGGGCCGCUGCAGCCGGCGGGGGCGGGUCUGCCCUGCCCGCGGCCCCCGCAGGUGCCCCCCGGUGCACCUGGGCCAGGGGCUGCCGGCCCGGGCACCGCCUGCUGCUGCUGCUACUGCUGUCCCCACCCAGCGGGGCACCCCCGGGUGCUGCUGGCAUCGCCCGGGCAGCCCCUGCUACCUGCAUGCGCCCCGCUUGUCCGGUCCCACCUGCCCCGCGGGGAGCCCCGGAGCAAGAGCAGUAAGUUCCCGCGGAGCGAAUAGCAACAGUAGCAACAAGGGAUAGUUGUUACCAUGAAUCGCACCCGCACCAAGAGUUGUUACAAGGAAUAGUAACCUUCCUCAGGAUAGCGGCGGCCGGGGCAAGGAUGCCUGCGAGAAGCACCGGAGCCCCAUCGCGAUGGUCAGGAUAAUAAUCGCAGCAGCCGUGGUGACAGCAGUAAGCAGAACCCUGGGCAGGGCAGUAAUAAUAAUGAUGGGAACUGGAACAAUGACAAUAGCCAGAACAAUAAUAAUGGCAGGCACGAUGACAGGAGCAGCAAUAAUAGCGGCCACCACGAUCACGAUGCUAAUAUGGAUAAUAGUAGUAAUGGCAAUAAGAAUGGCAGUAGUAUUGAUACAAAAAUAAGAAUGGCAGUAAUAACCCCCCCCCCCCAGCAGGAGUAUUAAUAAUAAAACACCUAGCAGCUCCUAGGGGCGUGCAAUCUGUUCCCCGGCCAAGAGCGGCCACCGACCUGCUGGUCUGCUCGGGGCAUUGGACAAGCAGGCUCAUGCCACCCCUUCAAGGCAUGUUUACAAACAUCACAGAAACCCGGGUGAGACGCGGACAGGCCAAGUGCAACCGUGACUUCAUGAGAAGAGGAGGAGCAGAUGGAUGCGGGACCCAGGGCAGGAGACAGUGCUCCCACCUACAGGGUAACAGGGAUAUCUCCUCACAAGCUGACGGAUAAUGCAGCCUUGCAUAGAGCUGGUCUGGAAAUGUUCUGUGUUUCUGCCAGAGUUUCUCCCAAACCCAGACUUUAUUUUUCUCAUCAAACCCCUCGGUUGACAGUUCUGGGGGUUUCAGCUAGACAGCUGCAAAGGUUGGGCUGGACUUUUUUUGGACUGAGGUUUUAGGUUUUCAGUUGUGCAAACCCCCCCACCCCCCAACUUCAUUUCUUUUUAACAUGCAAACUCCCAAACUUUUGUAAAUGUUGGGCUUCCCUGGCAGAAAUUUCUGUUUUGAUGAAGAAGCCAGUUUCCGAUGAAGAAAAUAAUCAGAUUAAAAUUUUCCACCAGCUCACAUUUGGGGGUUUUUAAAAAGUGGGCAGGCUGGGUUGAAGAGGCUGUCAUACUUAUCUGGAUGCUGCUGUGAUGGAUACAAAACGAUAGAGUUGGAGGGCCCAAUUCUGUGAUUUCUUGUUCAUUCUAGCAAGCCUUAGCAGGCUAGUAGCCCUGUUAACUUGAAUUUGACUACUGGGACAUAUAAGGAUUUACUUACAAAGGAAGGGGUGGGAGGGUGAAUUAGUGGUCAAGGCACUGGUCAGAGAUGGAGAAGACCUAGGUGUUAUCUUUAUUUUGAUGCAUGCUUCCUGCAUGACCUUGGGCAAGUCACUUGAGGCAGCAUUUUCAACAGUGACAUCUAGUUUUGGGUGCCUCAUUUUUGGAUGGCUGACCUGAGACUUCUGAUUUUGGAGAGGGCCGAGCACCUCCUGCUCUUGUUGCUUGACAUUUUGGGGAUGCAGCAGUUCUGAAAAUUGGGCUUGAGUAUCCUAAACCAAAUCCUCUGAUAGCAGACACCACUGGAAGGUUAACACGUGUGCUUAACUUUACUCCUGUGAGCUGUCCCUUUGAUUUUACUGGGGCUAACUGCAGCAGCAAGAAUGAGCAUGUGCAUAAGUGUUUGCUGGAGUGGAGCUUUCAGCCUUAAUUUCUCUCUGCUUCAGUUACACAACUGCAAAAUGGGGAUGCUAAUAUAUCCCUGCCUCAUAGGGAUGUUGUGGGGAUAAACUCAUUAGCGUGUGGGGUUUGUUUUUUUUUGUGAGACACUCAGACACUCCAUAGAAAAGACUCUAGGUAUUAUUUUGGAGGGGGAAUUUCAUAAAAGUUAAAGCCCACGCUGCAUUAUGGAGGUAAAUAAUACAAUUAAAAAGAAACCAUAGCAGAGGGAGAAAGAAGUUGAGAGGCAGGCAGUGGGGGGAGCAUACAUAGCCUUUCAUCUGAGAUUAGAAAAUAGAUGGGGAGUUGAUGCGGUGAAGAGAUAAAAGAAAGCUGGUCUAGAGGGCAAGUGCUUCAAAGAAGGCUCUUGCACCAAAGAACAGCAAAUUUGUAUAGCUCAGUCAGCGAACGUGGGACCAUAGACCUUGAUUCAGGCUGCGAUUCAAGCAGCUUCAUCUGUUUCCAGUGAUUUCCAAGGGUCCUCCCAGGUGUUGAAAAUGAGGUGUGGGCUUAAGAGCUUUGCUGAGUCUGGGAGUUACAGAACAAGGGAGAGGGCUGCUUUUUUGUGCUUUCAUAUUGGUUUGAGUAGGAACCCAAGCCCCAGAAUCUGAAGAAUAUGGGCCUGCUCCUUAUCCUGUUCAAAUACCCACAAAUUAUUGGGAAUGUGAGGGCUCUUAUUUGGGAUCGCUCUUGUGAAAGGAAGGGGAGAAAGAGAGGAGGCUGAUGCAAAACCCACAGACAUUGGUGAGCUUUGGAUCAGACUGUGGAAGAGCAAAAGGAAAGGUAGGGAUGUGGAGGGAGCGUGAAUGAACUCCUACAGAAUCAGUACAGGAGACAAACAGAGACUCCCAGUGCAAAAACAGUAGCAGUGCCUCAAAAUGCAAUAAUAGCAGAUCUAAUCCAAUCCACGCACAGCAAAGUGAUUUCUGCUACAAUACAAGAACAAACAUUACUUACAUGUGCAAUAAACAGUAAUCAGGAGUAGUUUGUAGGAUGCGUUACGGAAACAUCCCAUACAAUCUGUUCAGCGCUGUUCUUUUUAAUUUUCACAGCCAGGUGUGCAAAAGUUUUUAUUUGAUUUUUUUAAAGGUAGGCACACAAGGUUCAUUCUGCUUGGAAAACGUGUUGGGAGAUUUGUGACACAGAAGGUGAAGCGGACUCCGGUCCUCCUAGUUAGUCUUUCUGGGUUUCGUAUCUGGCUGCCAGCUGUGGUGUUACUAUUUUAUCACACAAAAAAAGAAAAACUAUACAUAGAUUUGUCCAUGCCUGGAUUUCUUCUGUUAGCAUCAUUGUUAGUUGGGGAAGGGGUUUGCCCUGGAGUUCCUUAUAGGAAUUCACUUGCAUAGAAAUGAAACACCCAGUGUUUUGCCUCCCUUUGGUGGUGUGGAUUGUUUAAUGGUCCCUUCUCCAAAUGAUGCUUAAUAGUUGACACUUGUAAACUCCCUGAGGCCCUUUAGAUUUCUGUGACAGGUCCUUCCUCUGGAUCCUGAUGGUAUCUCCACCAAGAUGGCUACAACAAAGCAACCUCUUGUUUUUGUAAUGCGACUUAACCUAAUUUGAAUUUCUUCACAUGGGUGCAGGGUAUGGAUACUUCCCUACCAUAAAAAUUCCCCAAAGCCCACAGGCCUUGUGGUAUUUCUUCCUUAUUGCUAAUUUUGCAGCUGUCCAUUACUCAGGGCCAAAAAUCUAAGACAGCAGAACCCAUUUUGACGUUUAAGUGGCAUUUCAAUUUUAAAAUGCUCUUUUUAGUCAACUGAAAAUGUAUUGAAUUAUCAAGGCUGCAUUACUUCUCAGAGAAUGAGAGCAUGUGUUUCUCUUAUUUACAUUUUGCUGGAUGCCCCUGAUUUUCUGUAAAGAGCUAAAAUGGGAUUGAACAGACUCUGAGGAGGCGCCAAGUCCAGGAAAACAAGAGAAGCACUCUGUAGAAAGGUGUUGUUCGCUCUGGUGCAGGGAAGAGAGCUGGUGAUCUGGCAGGGAAGAUUGCCCUACCUCCGCAUACCACUCCCUUGUGGAGGUUGCUUCACAUCCGUGACCAAGCCCAGAGGCAGCUGAGUGUCAGUGAUGGGCAAAGUGACCAGCCAGGAAAGCAUGAGUGGGCCAAAUCCUGAAGUUUCUACUGAUCUGGAGUGCAUCCAUCGCUGGGAGACCAGCAUAAAGACUAGGCUGUCCUUGUCUUUCCACUGCUCUGUGGCUGAGAGGCUCACUGUCACUGAAGCAAAAGGUGGUGCAAAGAAAGGAACCUGAUAGAAACUGAUGCAUCUUAAGUGCGAGAUUCCCUGGGCUGAUUUAACAGAAGAAGACUUUGAAGAGACAUUCAUGGAGACACUUGUGCUUCCAGUGAGAAGCUUCCAUACCACUGUAGGGCCUGUCUGUGGAUCAGGGACAAUUACUGGACGUGUUCAGCACCGGGGACCCAGUUAGGCAUGGUCCUGAAGAGGUGGAAUAUUGUUGUGUGUGUGUCUUGUACUAGCUGAAGCCAGGUAAGCAGUGCAGGGGGGCUUGAGACCUGCUGUCUUGCCCCAACUGCUCUUACCAUGUGGCAGAAGUGAAGACUGAGAAGAGCAUCUAGUCAUCUUCCACACAUGCAUGUUCUUUUCUACACUGGGCUCCAUCCUGCUCAUCUGCCACCUCCCUGCUUGUGCAUAAGGGUGUGGAUGGAUCAAGAACACAGGGUGUAGCUGCUGCUCUGCACGGAGGGCCCUGCCUAUCUCUUAACCUUCCCCAUGCCCUUUUGUGGCCUCUGCCCAUGCUGGAAUAUAGCAGCUGUGUCCUGCAGGAGGACUGCCAGGAUGCUAAUUUCAAAUGACAUCUGCAGUGUAGCAAUUCAGUCCCUUGCAUUCUUCAUGCUGGCUUAUGGGUAUAGGUCUAGCAUCCAGUUGGACAUGCUGUCUUGAGCAAAGGGCUGCCUUCUCCAGGGUUUCUACACAAACCUCUUUCUUCAGCCCUAGCGUUUAAAAGAGCCCCAGUCUGUCUGAGGCUAAGGUUUCACACACAAAAAAGUGAAAUCCUAGCACAGAAAGGAACAACUUGGGUCAAGAGGUUGUAACAACCCUGUGUAGUACGUCUAUCUGUGACCAGGUGACAUGGCAUUAAACAUGACUUGUCCCUAUGUUCACCAAUUGCAAAGUUGUGUUUAACACCAGGGUAAUUAAUGCAGCUCCUUGAGGUCAUGCUCUACCACAACCUACUUGCCUCCAGAGCCCUGACGGAUCAAACAGUGACCUUUAAUGAACAUAGGUAGUGCUUCUUUUCCCCCCCUCCCCGCUAUAAAAUCACAACCUGGAAAGCAGUUGUGUGUGGACUUGGCACCCAAUUGCCCUCUCCCCUGGUAUUUUAGUAACAGUCCCCCAUUUCAAACUAGUAAGAGUGUGAUGGCUGCAGUACAGUACUUCUUUCUGUUGCAUAAUAAAAAGCUGAAAACCCAGUGUUUCUCAGUCAUAAAAUCCACACCUUCUUAGGUGUGACAGCCAAGUCCUUUCAAGAAAGGCAAAUUGAGUGGAAAAACUAGUUGUCACAGACAGGAAGAGGUUUGGGUGAAAUCUGUAAGAAAACAGUAGUAGGACCUAACAUAGAGCUGGGUGGGGAAUGGUUGCAAGAAACUUGUAAGGGGUGUGUGUAUGUAUAAAAAUUCCCAUUCUGCAUAAGCAUAAAACCUUUCAAAAUUAAAAACUUUUAAUGAGAAAAGAAUCUCUUCCCCUUCCUUCCCCAAUUCCAGAACAACCAGUAGUCCAGUGAUUAUGGCAGAUAUCUGGCACGUGGGAGACCCAAGCACGAAUCCUUUCUUUGCCCAACUUGGGGACUUACAUCUGUGUGUUUCCAUCUCUCUGAUGAGGGCUCCAAUGACUGGGUUAUUCUGGGUAGUACCAUGGGUGCGUGUUCCCCUCUUAUUAUGACUUAACUCAGAAGAUCCAUCCUGAGCUCGGGAGACCCUUGCAACAAAAAAAUCAUUGAAAUUUCUCUGUUCCUACAAAAAGUUUUGGGUUUGAUCAAUUAGCGUUUUCUAAUGAAAAAUUACACCCACAAUAAAAAUUCUCAGCUAGUACUAGUGUAGGGUGGAGCGGGGUGGGGUAUUCACGCCACGUCCUUGGGGGGAGUGAGAGAUGGCUCUUAGGCAGCUCUGACUGUUGCAGAAAGAAAGAUGAAAGAUUUGGGGCCCCGCUCCUUUAGUGUAGCUGUAUGAAUAAAAAUUGGGAGAGAAGCAUCCUCUUCUGUCUGCCCUGGUCAC